ACAUCCAGAGAAUUUAGCAGAGAUGCUUUAGUGCCUUCGGGAACUCUGAGACAGGUGCUGCAUGGCUGUCGUCAGCUCGUGUUGUGAAAUGUUGGGUUAAGUCCCGNAACGAGCGCAACCCUUAUCCUUUGUUGCCAGCACGUAAUGGUGGGAAACUCAAAGGAGACUGCCGGUGAUAAACCGGAGGAAGGUGGGGAUGACGUCAAGUCAUCAUGGCCCUUACGAGUAGGGCUACACACGUGCUACAAUGGCGCAUACAAAGAGAAGCGACCUCGCGAGAGCAAGCGGACCUCAUAAAGUGCGUCGUAGUCCGGAUUGGAGUCUGCAACUCGACUCCAUGAAGUCGGAAUCGCUAGUAAUCGUAAAUCAGAAUGUUACGGUGAAUACGUUCCCGGGCCUUGUACACACCGCCCGUCACACCAUGGGAGUGGGUUGCAAAAGAAGUAGAUAGCUUAACCUUCGGGAGGGCGUUUACCACUUUGUGAUUCAUGACUGGGGUGAAGUCGUAACAAGGUAAGCGUAGUGCU
rnacentral:rRNA from 1 species